UACUGAGUUUACGCUCUACAACCCUUUGUGAACAUACCUACAACUGUUGCUUCGGCGGGUAGGGUCCCCGUGACCCUCCCGGCCUCCCGCCCCCCCGGGCGGGUCGGCGCCCGCCGGAGGAUAACCAAACUCUGAUUUAACGACGUUUCUUCUGAGUGGUACAAGCAAAUAAUCAAAACUUUUAACAACGGAUCUCUUGGUUCUGGCAUCGAUGAAGAACGCAGCGAAAUGCGAUAAGUAAUGUGAAUUGCAGAAUUCAGUGAAUCAUCGAAUCUUUGAACGCACAUUGCGCCCGCCAGCAUUCUGGCGGGCAUGCCUGUUCGAGCGUCAUUUCAACCCUCAAGCUCUGCUUGGUGUUGGGGCCCUACAGCUGAUGUAGGCCCUCAAAGGUAGUGGCGGACCCUCCCGGAGCCUCCUUUGCGUAGUAACUUUACGUCUCGCACUGGGAUCCGGAGGGACUCUUGCCGUAAAACCCCCCAAUUUUCCAAAGGUUGACCUCGGAUCAGGUAGGAAUACCCGCUGAACUUA
rnacentral:rRNA from 1 species